UACGGGGGGAGCUAGCGUUUUUCGGAAUUACUGGGCGUAAAGGGCGCGUAGGCGGUUAAUAAAGUUGAAAGUGAAAUCCCCGGGCUCAACCCGGGAACUGCGUCCGAUACUGGCAGGCUUGAAUCCGGGAGAGGGAUGCGGAAUUCCAGGUGUAGCGGUGAAAUGCGUAGAUAUCUGGAGGAACACCGGUGGCGAAGGCGGCAUCCUGGACCGGCAUUGACGCUGAGGCGCGAAAGCCAGGGGAGCAAACGGG
rnacentral:rRNA from 1 species